UGCGUAGGCGGCCGGUUAAGUAGGGUGUGAAAUGUCUCGGCUCAACCGAGGAAUUGCGCUCUAAACUGAUCGGCUCGAGUAAGAUAGGGGUGUGCGGAACUUCCAGUGGAGCGGUGAAAUGUGUUGAUAUUGGAAGGAACGCCGGUGGCGAAAGCGGCACACUGGGUCUUAACUGACGCUGAGGCACGAAAGCCAGGGGAGCGAACG
rnacentral:rRNA from 1 species